rnacentral:lncRNA from 1 species
CAUACGAACAAAUCAAAAUCGUUUCAUCCCAAACACUUAUCUCCGAAUUCGUACCCUCCAACAACACUUCCACUCUCCCAUUCAUAAAACCCGAAACCAAAACGAAUAAACCCGAAAGUAACCAUCCAAAUAUUAACCUCUUUCCCCGCAUCAAAUCCGACCCGACCGUGAUAGCUUCCAACCCUGUUCUUUCCUCAACGACGGAAACCACCAUGCCCAAACCCAUGACCCCCAUCAAAUAAACCUCGAAACCAAACCCGAUCGCCAUAAUAAUGAAUCGCAAUUCAGGUGAUGUGAAAGCCGAAGAGAUGACACGUGGCACGGAUGAGAAUACGAAAAGUAUGACGUAAACAAAAAUAGCGGUGACGAACGGGCGUUUCCAAUUCUCUUUAACGGCGGUAACAACGGAGUUAACAGUAACCGAUUUACCUUGAAUGAAGUUGUAUGUGGUGUGGACGGAUGAAACGGCGGCGGCGAGGGAGAGAGGGAGGCAAAUGAGUAAGAAGAGUGCUCUGAUGCGGAGGAGAUAAACAGCGUUGUCACGUGAUUCGUGCCAGACGUGACGCGCUUCCAUGAGAGUGGAGGUGAAAAGAGCGAGGGCUUCGAGGUGAUAGAUAUGGGAACGAAGGGUGUGUGUGGUGAUGGAGAGUGUGAACAAGAGAAAUGAGAGUGGAAGUGUUGUGAAUAAUGCGAUGAACAAUAAUACGAGCUUGUUGUUGUGAAUAACUCUCACUGGUUCUAACACUCUCCAAAAACCAUCUUUUCCUUUUCUCAACAUUUUCGUUGUUAACUUAACAAUCAAUGCAUCAUCAAUUAUAAUAUCUAUGCUUCCUUCC